rnacentral:rRNA from 1 species
ACUGAAUCCAUAGGUUAAUGAGGCGAACCGGGGGAACUGAAACAUCUAAGUACCCCGAGGAAAAGAAAUCAACCGAGAUUCCCCCAGUAGCGGCGAGCGAACGGGGAGGAGCCCAGAGCCUGAAUCAGUGUGUGUGUUAGUGGAAGCGUCUGGAAAGGCGCGCGAUACAGGGUGACAGCCCCGUACACAAAAAUGCACAUACUGUGAGCUCGAUGAGUAGGGCGGGACACGUGGUAUCCUGUCUGAAUAUGGGGGGACCAUCCUCCAAGGCUAAAUACUCCUGACUGACCGAUAGUGAACCAGUACCGUGA